GACCAGGAAGAGGAGCCAAAACCCGGUCCACCAUCCCAGACGGAGCCGGGAGCUCCUGGAUCUAUCGGCCGGUGGGACAGAAUCAACCCGGCUGCUGCUGUGUUUGACAGUCGUUAAAUCCGAGGUCGGCAGCUUUCGUUGCGGAGGAUUACGGCGUCAAUCUGGUUUGUCAAUCAAGAAGCAGGAAGCUAAACAAGAGGACGACCGGAAGUUAAUGGAUUUUUCAAAACAACUUCAAACGGACAGUCCGCUCAUCAUAUAACUGGCAUCUGUGAGAUAAGGACGACAUGAACGAUGCAGUGAGAUGGCUGGAUGAAUGCCACUGAGAAGGAAAGAGCAAAGGUUCUCCAAGCAAAGCUGAAGAACCACCAGAAGUAUUUGUCUGUGUUACUGAGUCCAGCUUGACUCCUGCCUGCUCAGCUCUUCCUGCUUCCCGACAUCAUGGAGCUCAGGCGGCUGUUCUGCUGGUGACGAGACGGAGCCCGCGGCAGGUAGCCGGGGAGAGAGCCGGGCAGAGAGCCGGGCAGGUAGCAGGUAGCCGGGCAGGUAGCCGGGCAGGGAGCCGGGCAGGGAGCUGGGCAGGUAGCAGGUAGCCGGGCAGGUAGCCGGGCAGGGAGCAGGGAGCCGGGCAGGGAGGAGGUAGCCGGGCAGGGAGCAGAGAGCCGGGCAGGGAGCAAGUAGCCGGGAGCAAGUAGCCGGGAGCCGUGUCAGAAGCAUGCGGUCCGACGUGGAGUACAGCCCGGUCGGAGAGGGGCUGGGCAUGCGGGACUUCUGGCUGUACGUGUGGCUGCGGAGAGCGGCGGUGAUAGCGGCUCAUGUCACCGGACUGGGCCUGACCCUGGUCAUCUCCCUGCUGUCCAGACCCGGAACCAGUCUGUUUUCUUGGCAUCCUGUGUGUAUGUCUGUCGCUUACUGUAUGUGCAUGACAGAGGGCAUCCUCCUCUUCUCAGCAGAGGGAUCUCCCUUCUGCUUCAAGUCUCGGAAGGGUAAAGUCCGCCUCCACUGGUUCUGCCAAGCUCUGGUCCUCAUAGCUGCAGCCACAGGCCUGGGCUUCAUGGUGGCCAGUAAGAACGUGUCAGAGCGCCCCCACUUGGUCUCCUGGCACAGCCUGCUGGGCAUCUGCACCCUGGCUGCCACCGUGCUCCAAGCAGCUUGUGGCAUCUGCAUGAUCUUCCCUAAACUGCUGCGCCUCUCCUCCUCCCCACCCCGGCUGAGGCUGUACCAUGGCACAUGUGGCCUCGUGGUCUACCUGCUGGCCACAGUGACCGUGAUGUCAGCCAUGUUCUCAGACUGGUUCCAGGCCACAGUGAAGGGGGUGGCAUGGUGGGCCUUCCUCUUGCUGCCCCUUUUCCCUGCCCUGGUUGUGAUGAACCAGAUAACUAAUGCCUACCUUCCCCGCAAGAAGAUGACCAGCUAGGUGUCGCCUAGCAUGGGACAGAUGGGAUCUUUACUGCACUCAGGGCCAGGCCAUCUGAUGAUGAGUCCUCCACUGCAGCAGCCUUUGAAGAUAUAAGAACUAAAGCAGACUUGCUGGUCGUCCGAUAGACUGCUGAAGAACAUGAAAACGUGGGGCUAAACAUCUGCUUUCUGAAGGGAAGUUCUCAAACCUGGAAUUUAGCUUUACUUAACAGUUUGCCUGCACAGUUCUGUACCCUGAAAUUCUGUUUGUGCAAACAGUUAAUUUCGGCCUUCAUAUGAAUGUGUGAAGUCAGUGUAGAAGUAGGAACUGAAGUUAGAGUUAGUUGUGUCUCGUGGUGUUUUAGGGUACAAGUUAAGCAUCUUGGGCAGAGGGUUUUAAAUUGAGGUGCAGACAUUACAAGGUUGUGUGCACAAAUUUUCCAAAAUAUUACUUGUGAUACGUCCUGAGGUCCAUAGACAGCCAGCAUCUAAUGGUCUGUAGAAGUUUUACUUUCAAGCUCCGACUCUUUCUUAUGUUAAAUUCAUACAACAGUUUUAAGAGAAUCUAAUAAUGUUAUGUGGGAUGUGUGAACUGCCUUGCCUACCGCUAAACACAUGAAACACAGGACACUGUAUGGUUUGGUUGCAAACUAUUGGAGGCAGUCCCAUAGUUGGAGCUGGUGGACACCUCUGAGCUUUCUCCAUCCGUCGCCUCUUCAGAGGAAUUUUUGCACUAGACAUGCAGCAAAUGCAAACUUCUCUAAUGGAUGCUGUAUGUAGACUGGUUUCUGAAGGGACUACAGAUUUGUACAUUUGCUUGUGUAAGGACACAGCUUCAGCCUUCAAUAGAAGGUGCUGUGGAUGAUUAUGUACCAGCCUGUAAAUUAUAUUUAUUAUAUUUAUGUGUUGUCUGUCAUAUUACAGGCACUACAUGAAGCAUUUCAACAGGAGAGUUCCAUCAAUCAGCAGCGAAUCAAAUUAAUAACAUCAGCUCCAGUGAAAAACUUCAUGUAUCACCUCUGGUUUAUGAGCAGAACCCUCGUUUUAUCCCUCCUUGUUCUAUAUGUUCUUGUUUGCCGACCGUUGUUUGUGUUGUGUUUGUUCCAAAUAGGAAAAAUGAAACUGCACUCACACCUGUGUCGCGUUGUCAUGCCAGGCCAGGGCACAGGCUGUCUUCUUCCAGUGAUGUCAUCAGUAUAAUUUAUAUAAUAUAAAUGUAAUAAAUAGAACUAAAUAUCCCUGUAAAACAGACAAAUUUAGAAAACUUUAAGUUUUACUGAUCAGUUGCACUACAUCUAAUUCAGCGCUACAACCACGAGUAAACUCAGCCUAGGGCUGGGCGAUAUGGUCUAAAAAAAAUCUCAGAUUUUUUCACAAAAAAAAAUCCCGAUUCACAAUUUAUCCAAUUUAUUUUUACCCCCUACCUAAUCUCUGCACGACGGAAUCCAGUCUACUUUAUGCAAAUGAGCUGCAGCCCUCUCCAGGUAAACACACUGGAUUGCAGCUGGAAAUGUGCCGCAUGUGGCAUGCUGGUCAGGUUGCGGUGCGUUUGUGGUUUGUGGGGGGGGCACUCUGAUGAACUACAGGAGCCCAGCAGGCAGGCGUUUGUGGGCGAUGUUUUUGAGAAAAUCGAUUUUCAUUAAAAAAAAAAAACAAAAAAAAAAACAUUAAGUACAAAGUCGAAUUAAUCGAUAAAAUCGAUUUAUCGCCCAGCCCUAACUCAGCCUGAACAAACCAGCAUCUGAAGUCAUCUUACUGACAGAGACACCCCUGGCAAUCAUCCCCAGCAGGUAAUACAAGUUCAGAUGUUACCAAAAAUGCUGUUAGAGAACCUGAUGCACAAAGACCUGCUGGAUGUGUUUACCCUCCGGCACCUCGCCUUAGUUGCUAAUGAGUGGUUUAUGCAGAAGCAGAUCAGGGGACUGUGCUGUCUGCUAUCAGUGACUGAAUACUGCAGGAUCAUUCAAAAAACAUUCGUCAAUGUAAAAUGCACACAAAUUUAUUUUUAGCCUGGCUAGAUGUUUUGUCUGUUCUUCACUAAAAUCUGAAUUUCUACUAAAUAAAAAAAAAAACAUUUUUUGGACUGUCUUUCCUUUUGGCUUCUGACUGCAGGUUUGUAGCUGGUUUCACUACAGCUUACAAAAAAUACAUGUACGGAUGCACGAUACUGGAUUUUUGGCGAUAUUUUCCAACUCAUUUUGGCUGAUGGCUAAUACCAAUAUUAUGGAAGCAAAUCAGACUCAUCAGAUUCUGAAUUUUAAAAGCUGCUGAAUUUCUUACUUUGAAUUUUUUUGCAUCAAAAUUACGUAUGUAAAUUUUUUAUGCCUGAAAAUUUAGCUCAUCAAAAUUCUAAAAAACAGUUAAAAAUUCAAUGUCUUCAAAAUUCGCCAUCAAAAAAAUUUGAUGUCUUCAAAAUUCGCCAUCAAAAAAUUCAAUGUUCAAAAUUCGCCAUCAAAAAAUUCAAUGUUCAAAUUCGCCAUCAAAAAAUUCAAUGUCAAAAAAUUCGCUGUCAAAAAAUUUGCUGUUCACAUCCAGGGGACUCAGGCGUAAAAAAUCGAUCCUGGCCAAAAUCGAACCAACGCCCAGCCAAUCACGUGGCGCUCCUCCGGUCAUGUGACGCAGACGGUUCACCUCACAAGACCGGGGUCAACCACAGCUACCAGCAUGAACGACGGCGCUUCACAACACCGUCUGAACUGACCAGUCUGGUGAAAUUCUGGACUGGAUGGGAGACUCUACCAAGAACUCUCUCCUCAGAAGUAGUGAAUGGCAGAUACCUGACAGCCUCCACCUGCUAUGAGACCUUACAUUCCCAGGACAUUACAAGGACUACACAUCAUUUAAGACUGACAUCCUGGCCUGUAUUUGCACUUGCCAGUCAAGAUAUGUUAGUAAGGCAGCAUCAGGAGACAAACAUGGAGGAAAUAUGAGAACAGAGAGAACCCAACCAGCAGGUCACAGUUUAUCAUCAUCUAAUCAUCUCCUGAAGUCCAUAUGGUAAGUGGACAUCAUGAUGAGAUCAGCUAGAUUUCCUACAGUAUAUGGCUGUGAAUUUACCAGAGGAUGCUUAUAAUAAUGCUGAUGUGGCCGUAGGCUCUACACUAUUUUAGUGACUCAGUAAAUGCCUAAGUUGGUUAUUAUUUUUUAAAUACUUUUUAGUUUUUAAUAAACAUUUAUUUAAUAGCCUAUAUGUAAUCAAACAUGGCCUUUGCCUAAAAAGAAUAAUAUUUCAUUGCACAAGUAAAGGUAUAGUAAUUUUUGAAACUGUUCAAAUUAUUAUAUGUUGCUAAAAAACAAAAAAACACAAACAAAAAACACAUCAUAGUAAUAUGUCAAUUAAAAAAGCCUAUAGUAUAGCAUGUUCCCAACAAACGUCAUAGUAUAGCAUGUCGCUCUAAAAAACGUCAUAGUAUAGCAUGUCACUCAAAAAAUGUCACAGUGUAGCCUUUGGUCUAAAAACGUCAUACUAUAGCAUGUUGCCCAAAAAUUGUCAUAUUAUAGCCUUUGGUCUAAAAACAUCAUAGUAUACCAUGUCGCUCUAAAAACGUCACAGAAAAGCCUUUAGUCCACAAAACGUUGUUGUGUCCCGGCUGUCUGAAGUAGGUGAGGAGCAACACAAAAACAGUACAGACGCUGGUUUCCAGAGGGUUAGACGAGUAUUUAUUUGAAAGAGUAAGUUUACAACAACACAACAUGUGAGGGGGUUCAAAGCAAAUGGGUGUUAGUAAAAUAAAAAUAAAUAAACAGAACUAAAAGUGAACUUCCUGUUGACAUUGAUGGACAUUCCAACCAGGAACAAAGUAAAAGAUAAUCAAUACGAAAAAAAAACUCUUCCUGUUCACCGAAAACCCAAAAACACCUCAGUAGCAGCCUAAACUAAAACUACCAAUGGCUUCCCUGUUUUCCUUUGUGAACAAUUCAAAGGUCCCUCUCUAUCUCCCCACACAUCCACCAACCACUGGAACACAUCUCCAAAGUUCUGCUGGGCCAGCUCAGCUUCCCCUCAGAAGAAGUGCUGCCACCUGCCAGAUGAAGGAGCCUUUUGAGAGGCAGCUGGCAUCGUGAUUGGACUGUACUUUGGUCUGUUCCAAUCCAGCUUCAGCUCCAGAGACGGCAGGCGGGACGAGUCAACGGAGGCCUGGUGGACGAAGGCAUGAAGCUGAGUACAAUCCAGAAAACAACAGAGGAGGAGUGCAGCAGCCCAGGACCAGAACAGAGUUGCAUGGUAUGUCUCUUAGAAAACAUCAUAGUAGAGCCUUUGCUAUGAAAAAACACCAUCAUAUACAUCGUAUAUUGUACAAAUAACAAGUCAAAGGAAAGAGACAUACAUUGUAGAAUUGUAGUAAUUGUGGGCUGACUGAUUUACUGAUUAUUAGUAUUUUAUUUUUUACUGAUUUACGGUAAUAAAUACAUUUAAAAAUGG